CUUCUAGUAAUUUAUUUUGCCCCAAAACCUAAUCAGUAGGCUUUGGCCUCCACUGAAAAGAUCUGGUUAGGUCCAACCAUUAACAUGACUUGAUUUGGUGAAUCUGACCAAUAAAUGAUCAGGCCCGACUUUGGCCGGCCAACCUAACCACCAUCAGAAAGACUCAACCAAAUUAUCAUACUAUGAAUGAUAAUUCCAUUAGUCAAUAAGCAGCAGGUCUUUGGGCCUCCAAUGAUUAUUAAACUAAUGGACUCAUUAUCACUCACUUAAUGGGAGGCUAUGACUUAGUUAUCACUAUAAC
rnacentral:lncRNA from 1 species